GGACGAACGCUGGCGGCGUGCCUAACACAUGCAAGUCGAGCGGGGACAUGGAAGUAGCAAUACGGAAAUGUCUAGCGGCGGACGGGUGAGUAACGCGUGAGCAACCUGUCCCAGUCAGGGGGAUAACGAGCCGAAAGGCUCCCUAAUACCGCAUGAGACCACAGCAUCACAUGGUGCAGGGGUCAAAGGAGAGAUCCGGACUGGGGUGGGCUCGCGUCUGAUUAGCUAGUUGGUGAGGUAAAGGCCCACCAAGGCGACGAUCAGUAGCCGACCUGAGAGGGUGAUCGGCCACAUUGGAACUGAGACACGGUCCAAACUCCUACAGGAGGCAGCAGUGGGGAAUAUUGGGCAAUGGGGGAAACCCUGACCCAGCAACGCCGCGUGAAGGAAGAAGGUCUUCGGAUCGUAAACUUCUAUCCUUGGUGAAGAUAAUGACGGUAGCCGAGAAGGAAGCCCCGGCUAACUACGUGCCAGCAGCCGC
rnacentral:rRNA from 1 species